rnacentral:rRNA from 1 species
UACGUAGGGUGCAAGCGUUGUCCGGAAUUAUUGGGCGUAAAGAGCUCGUAGGCGGUCUGUCGCGUCUGCUGUGAAAACUCGGGGCUUAACCCCGGGCCUGCAGUGGGUACGGGCAGACUAGAGUGCGGUAGGGGAGACUGGAAUUCCUGGUGCAGCGGUGAAAUGCGCAGAUAUCAGGAGGAACACCGGUGGCGAAGGCGGGUCUCUGGGCCGUAACUGACGCUGAGGAGCGAAAGCGUGGGGAGCAAACAGG